rnacentral:lncRNA from 1 species
GAGGAGAAACCUGACUUUUUGCCUGCAGAGAAUGCAUGACGAAGGGUUUUGUAUGCAGUUUCAGUCAGUG